UGGCCCAUCGGGGCAAUGGAUACCUGCUUAAA
rfam:Ailuropoda melanoleuca scaffold2850_7, whole genome shotgun sequence.